CAGACGGACAGGCGGGCGGGCGGGCGGACAGACGGACAGGCGGCCGGCCCUGCCCGCGCGCGGCCGUUGGGCUCGGCGCUGAGGGGAGACGAGGGGGGGAUAAGGAGUAAUGGGGGGAGGAGGGGGGAAGCGCCGCAACCCGCCCGCAGCCUCACCUGGAACGGCGCCGAGGCCAGGCGGUGCUGGCGCUGCCGGCGGCUCCCUGAGGAGCCCGGCGGCCCCCGGGGAAGGGCUGCGAGGCGCCGGGGGUGGGGGGACGGCGGCGCUACAGCGGCCCCCGGGCCAGCCUCCGCCCCAUGGCGUGCGGCGCGGUCUCUAUGGCGACUGCGGGGCCGGGACGGAGCCGGCCCGCCCGCCCGCGGGGAGGGCCGAGGGCUGGGCGCCGAGCCGGGGGCGCUCAGGGGGCUGCGGAGCGGCCCGCGGGCCCCCCCCGCCUUAACCCCCUCGCCGCCGCCAUCCCCGCGGCGCCGCCGCUCGCAGCCCGCCCGCUCCGCCGCCUCCGCCGCCCUUCCUCGGCCGCCGCGCCACCGAGCCCGCUGCCCGCCGCGGCCCGCCCCCUUCCAGCCUCCCGCAGCGCCGAUUGGGCGGCGGCGGAGAUUCCCGCGGGGGGAUUGGCUGGCGGCGGGGUCAAUCACGGGGAGGGAGGAGGACGAGCUUGAGGCGGCGGUGGCGGCGCCGGGGCCGGGGUUGGUUGAGCGGCGCGGAGCCCAGCCGCAGCCGCCCCCGCGCGGUGCUGAGGGGACGGCGGGGCCCGGCCGGGCCGCGGGGCUGGAGCCGCCUCCUCGCCGCCUUCGGGCCCCGCUGCCCGGAGCUUGGGGCUCUGAGAAGGGCUCUCUGCUUCGGGGGGCUGCGGCCGGGUGCUCGGCCCCCGGAUUUAACCUGGUGGCAUAAGAACCUCGAAAUACGAUUAGAGAUGCAGGAGCGAUUAGCGCAGGCAGGAGAGUUGAAGCCUUUUUCUCCAUCUCCAUUGGUGAGUCAGUGUAAAGACAGAACUACACGGACAUCAGGAAAUCAGUACUUCGCUCUUCCUCAGAAUGCCUGUUCCUGGUAUUUUCUGCCUUGUAUUCAGCAAGGUGCCAGUUUUGAGAUCUCAUUCUGUCCUCUGAAGCAGGUUAGUAGUUUCUUUUACAAUAAGUUACAGAUAAGAACGUGUGUCCAGCUAAAAGGGCCAAUUUUGUUGAAGCUGGUGAGAUAAGAUAUAGGUUGUUUAUGACAAAACUGCAAGCUAAAUUUCUUGGGAUAAUUUGCAUCCAAUAAGUAAUUUUAUAAACAAAUAAAUAGCUGUGUGACAAGUCUUUUUCUAUGUAGUUGGGGAUAUUUGACAGCAAAGGAAAUGGUAAGUGGCAUCUUGAAAGCAAAAAGCUACAAGUAUGCUGAGGGAAGCCCUGUGUUCAAAGUUAGACAAGAAAAGCUCAAGAACAAUAUGGAUAAUAUGGGAAAGAUUUUCAUAUUUAUUGGGCUUCUGUUCAAAGAAAUAAAAUCCAGCAUCCUUUCCCAUUGCUGGGGGUGGGGGGGAAGCCUCUAUGUGUAUGCUUUGUAAUACUGGAGUAGCUCAUGUGUGGGGUGUGUUUCCAAGAACUUGGGGGGAUUAGUUUCACUCAACUACUAGGAGCAUUUGUGGUUUUACAGUAAUCCCAGUCACAAAUAUAACUUGAAAAAGAAUAUAUACAUCCUGCAGAGUAAGACAAUGACACUUUUAGCUCAACAUUGCGCUUCAGUUUUUCCAGAUGGAAGAACUUUCUUCAUAGUGCUCAAAAUUGCUACUACAUGGCAGUGUUGAAUAAAUAUUUUCAACACUUCACUGAACAGUUAGGGAAGGAAUAACAUACGGUAUAUUUACAGAAUUCAUUAUAAGGGGAAGAGGGUUUUCGUGUUAUCUGAAAUAAACUCAAUAAAUUAUUACUGUAAAAAAGUUAUCUUAGGAGAAAUAUCCACAUAGAAGCUGCAAAGACUGGUUCUUCUGCCUAGUGUUUCUCAGAGACUAAUUUCUCAGGAACAGAUUAGAUUAAUUGUUCUUCUGUCCCAGACUCGAUGCAUUCAACACUGUGCAAGCAUUUAUCCUAAAGAUUCUUUGUGCAAUCUUUGUAGGGUCAGUCAAGGGGUGAUUGCUCCACUACAGCAACCAGUUAUUUCUCUGCUUUCCUCUGUCAGCAUAGCUCAUACAAAAUAGCUUGUGCUAGGCAGAUGUUCUACUGCUGGAAGUCUGUGGUGUGGGUACCUCUGUUGUAGAUGAAUGUGAAUACUGCAUGAAGCUGGUCUUGUAAAUAAAACUGCAUCAAAGAAGCUAGAAAUAGCAUUUGAGAAUUGUCAGAGGCAACGAUUUACUAGGAGAGUUGCUCUUACACAGAGAAGUUUCAUGUUUUAAGAUUAGGCAUCUGAGAAUGGUGGAGGGAUCUAUACCAGAAUAACUACACAAGACUGACUGUAUCACUGUUUAUGAAAUUCAGCCUCAAAUUUCUUCAUGGCUAGAAUAAUAUAACAUGAAGCCUCAAGUUUAUAUCUUCUAAAGUCAAGUGCCUCCUUAGUAGAUGAUUUUUAAGUGAAGAUUGGCCUGUCUACAAAUUUUGUACAAAUGUUAAAGCAAAAGACAUUCACCGAGUCGGUG
ensembl:lncRNA